rnacentral:hammerhead_ribozyme from 1 species
GCACCGCUGAAGAGUUCCACAAUAGGACGAAACGGUCGUCCAGUGC